rnacentral:rRNA from 1 species
CCGCUGGAGGUAUCAGAAGUGCGAAUGCUGACAUAAGUAACGAUAAAGCGGGUGAAAAACCCGCUCGCCGGAAGACCAAGGGUUCCUGUCCAACGUUAAUCGGGGCAGGGUGAGUCGACCCCUAAGGCGAGGCUGAAAAGCGUAGUCGAUGGGAAACAGGUUAAUAUUCCUGUACUGAAGGUGACUGCGAAGGGGGGACGGAGAAGGCUAGGCCAUCCGGGCGACGGUCGUCCCGGUUUAAGCGUGUAGGUGGAAAGAGCAGGCAAAUCCGCUCUUUCGUUAACACCGAGGCGUGAUGACGARCCGCCACGGCGGUGAAGUGGUUGAUGCCCGGCUUCCAGGAAAAGCCUCUAAGCCUCAGGUCACCUUGAAUCGUACCCCAAACCGACACAGGUGGUCAGGUAGAGCAUACCCAGGCGCUUGAGAGAACUCGGGUGAAGGAACUAGGCAAAAUGGUGCCGUAACUUCGGGAGAAGGCACGCUGGCAGUAGGUGAAGGGCCCGCGCCCGGAGCCGAAGCCAGUCGCAGAGACCAGCUGGCUGCAACUGUUUAUUAAAAACACAGCACUGUGCAAACACGUAAGUGGACGUAUACGGUGUGACGCCUGCCCGGUGCUGGAAGGUUAAUUGAUGGGGUUAGCACGCRAGUGCGAAGCUCUUGAUCGAAGCCCCAGUAAACGGCGGCCGUAACUAUAACGGUCCUAAGGUAGCGAAAUUCCUUGUCGGGUAAGUUCCGACCUGCACGAAUGGCGUAAUGAUGGCCAGGCUGUCUCCACCCGAGACUCAGUGAAAUUGAACUCGCUGUGAAGAUGCAGUGUACCCGCGGCAAGACGGAAAGACCCCGUGAACCUUUACUAUAGCUUGACACUGAACAUGGCGCCUUGAUGUGUAGGAUAGGUGGGAGGCUGUGAAGUGYGGACGCCAGUCCGCACGGAGCCGUCCUUGAAAUACCACCCUUGAAUGYGCGAUGUUCUCACCCAGGUGCGUGAUCCGGACCGGGGACAGUGUCUGGUGGGUAGUUUGACUGGGGCGGUCUCCUCCCAAAGCGUAACGGAGGAGCACGAAGGUUGGCUAAUCACGGUCGGACAUCGUGAGGUUAGUGCAAAGGCAUAAGCCGGCUUGACUGCGAGAGUGACAGCUCGAGCAGGUACGAAAGUAGGUCUUAGUGAUCCGGUGGUUCUGUAUGGAAGGGCCAUCGCUCAACGGAUAAAAGGUACUCCGGGGAUAACAGGCUGAUACCGCCCAAGAGUUCAUAUCGACGGCGGUGUUUGGCACCUCGAUGUCGGCUCAUCACAUCCUGGGGCUGAAGUCGGUCCCAAGGGUAUGGCUGUUCGCCAUUUAAAGUGGUACGCGAGCUGGGUUUAGAACGUCGUGAGACAGUUCGGUCCCUAUCUGCCGUGGGCGUUGGAAGAUUGAAAGGGGCUGCUCCUAGUACGAGAGGACCGGAGUGGACGCACCGCUGGUGUACGGGUUGUCAUGCCAAUGGCAUCGCCCGGUAGCUAAGUGCGGAAGAGAUAACCGCUGAAAGCAUCUAAGCGGGAAACUUGCCUUGAGAUGAGUCUUCCCUUGACUUGAGGUCACGGAAGGAACGUUUAAGACGAAGACGUGGAUAGGCUGGGUGUGUAAGUGCAGCGAUGCAUUGAGCUGACCGGUACUAAUGAACCGAGCGGCUUAACCUU